AUUCAGUCGGUUUAGAGUGCUCAUAUAGUACAGAUGAAAUAAAUCUGGUUAGACCGAGUUGGCUAAUUGUAUAGAAAUAGUUUAAAAGUGACUCUUUGCUAAAUAAGUCGGGAAAACUGUGUGGAAAGCGUUACAUAAGUUUUUUAUUUAUUUUGAAAAUGGUUUUUUUGUAUGUCGGCCCAGGUGUUCAAUAGCGAGUGUAUUCUGAGAAACUCGCUCGGAGAGGAUAAAAGGAGCGAGAGAAAGGGAGCGCACAUCGAGCGUGUUCCUCUGCGGUGAUUAAUAAAGAUGCUGCACAAGAAGAUGGUAGGAGAGAUAAUAACAUGAAGCAUCCAUAUGCGUAGCGGGAGACGGAAUGGGAGUCGAUCCACUGAAGAUGCCGGAGACGGGAAUGGAAUAUUGUAUAUUUUAUGCCGUCCAAUUAUUGAAAAAACAUUUAUGUUGCACGUAUUAUUCGACUCACUUCUCAUCCAUGCAACUACAAUGUGCCACAGUGAAACGUGGCCAGGUACAUAUCUUAUAAAUACGUUUCCUAGAGACCGCAAACUUUUUGUGUUUCUUUAGAAAUUAAUCAAUCCAUUAAAUAAAAUGAUUUCAU